GCGUUUUUAAAAAGAAAAGCAACACGGCUGCAGCAGCGAAAGAACGCGAGUCGGCGUGGGAGAAGAUUACUGCUCGAGUCAAUGCGUAAGUUUAAAUUUAUUAUAUACAUUUAUGUAAUCACAAUAAUAUUAGGCUACAGAUGCAAACAAGUAGAAUGGUGUUACAGCUACAAUUUAUGUCACUUAGAUGUAAUCCCACCGGCGAAAAAAGAACGUGGAAGCAGCUGAAGAUGAAAUAUAAAAACAUUGUUCAAACAGGUAAGCCCUCAGCAUAACAGUCAGGGUGCCUCUUUUUAAUCAUGUUUACCACUAAAUAUCAUUCAGCGGCUGUUUCAGUGUGCAUUAUCUCCAACAUAAUAUUGUUUUCACACACAUAAAUGUCCUCGCCUGUAUACAGUUAAAUCAGACAUAUGAAAAGCAACAUCUAACUUCUACUCAGCCAACACAAAGCGGGCAUCUGCCCGCAAAACUGGCGGAGGACCACCCCCACCACGUCUGACCGAGGCAGAGGAGCUGGCCAUGAGUCAGACUGUCGGGAGGCCAGUCGCAGAGGGGAUCCCUGGAGGAACCUCAUCCUCGGACAUGAUUACACAGGAGCCACCAGCCUUGAUAAGAUGCAAUAGGCCUAGGCCUCAAACUUCUUUUGGGCCUAUAGUUCAAUGUUAAUUUCCCUUUCAUGUGUUUUUCUUUUGUCUCAACAGAUUCUGAAGGCGUACUUGGUCUAGUGGAUCCAUGUGCCACUUUAACUGAUGAUGAAGAUGAUGGGACCACUAUGUCUGCUGCCUUCUCUGUGGUGUCUGAGAGGGAGCCUGAGAGGCCUACAGAGAGCAUGGCUGGGCAGCAGGAAGAGGGUCCCUCAACCUCCACAGCACAGAUUGACACAGUGAGAUACGUAUUCAGUAAAUUCCAGAGGUUAAUUCAGUGGAAUUCAUGUGCAACUGUAUAAUGUCAUCCUUAUGUGUUCCCAGCUACCACUAAAAGAAAUCUACAAAGUGCAUUUAUUAAAAACAGUACAAAAAACAGAAAAAUAAAUGGUGCUGCUGGACCGCCAGAUAACUAAAACGGAUCUGGAAAUUGAAUUAUUAAAACACAAGUUAGAGGUGGGUGCAUGGUCAUAGGUGAAUUGUGUUGAUGAUUGUAACAAUUAAAAAGUAAGAAACCAUUUUUUUUUCUUAUUUGUAGGA